GCGCCGUGGGCGAGGGGGGAGGGUUGUGUGGCGGAAGCGAGGGUUAGGGUUUGCGGCUAGAUUCUAGCCCCUCUUUGGCAAGGCAAUUGGCUGAUGCCUUCGGGCACUUCGAGGGCCCUUCUCACCUCAGCCUCCUCCCCUCCAGUACACUGCGGGCUAAGAGAGGUGAUCCCGAGGGUGAUGUGCUUGUGUGACGAAGUGUUUGUCUCCUGCGAUCCACGGCAGAUGCUGCUGCUCUGGUGUCCCGGAGAUCCGGUUUCCUGGCCCCUGGGGGAGGUCAGAUAAAGCAGGAGAGGAGUGGUGGGAACUUCUUUUUCCACAGGGGCCAUGUGAAAGGAAGGCUAGCUGGGAGAAUUUCUGGGGACCGCAGUCUUGGGGGGGGGGCGGUUCCAGUCCUAAAGGAGCUCUGCUGGAUCAAAGCCUUCCUGGCACUCAAAGCUCCCAAUCCCUUUGCUCCUUUGGGGGUGGCAACGAGGGUAUAGAAGAGGUGUUGGACUAACUGGGCCCUGUGGGAGGUGGGCUGGAGAGCCCAAGAAAAUCAGCUUUAAUUGGAUUCCCAGGGAAGCAACUCAGGGCCAUAAAGGUGCCUCCCCUUUAUCUUUGUGGGGUGGGAGCCAGUCCUAAGCUGGCAGCUCAGGCAGGUGGAAACGGUUUUCUCCCUACCCAAAGGGAGGCUUCCUGGGGGAGGAGAGGCACCUUUGGAGGCAGGGGACUGGACUGUUUCCAGACUGUUCUGUCACCAAGUCCAGGAAUAGAAAGAGUUAACCCCUCCCCCCAGAAAUCUGUCACACACGCUUGCGCGUGCACAGCCACACACACACACACACACACACCCUGCACAGCAGGGGCACGAUCUUGGGUCCUCUGACAUGCUAACAGCAUGACCCUGGCUGAUGGGUGAGCAGAUUGCACACCCUGUAAACCCCCUUUUGGCAGGACAAGACUUGGCAGGGUGGUGACUUGUUAGGGACCUUGGGGAGGUGGAAAUCAGAGCCCAGAGAAGAUCACACAGCCAAGCUAUAGCCUUGUUGCCCAGAAAGAAAAGAGGUUACCAGCCAUGGCUCCUGAAAUGGGUGCUUCUUGCUCUAACAUUGCCCCCCCCCAUCGGAAGGCCUGACCUGAAGUAUGAGUUUCUGACCCCUGGUUGGACUGUGAGACCAUAGCAGUUGAGGGUGGCCAGGGUGAGGGCUCCUGGAGGCAGGGCCAGACCUUACAGGAUCCAUUUCCCCUUACUCCUUGGUGUAGAGUUAGUUGUGGGGCUGCUUUCCCUGCCUGACUUCCAUUUCUCUCGAGUGGAAACUGUUCCCUAAAAGCCCCAGGGGCCAGGCACACUGUAGACAUGUAAUUGUCCUGUUUCCCCCAGACAAACACAGAAGUGAAUGGAUUAGUAAUGAAUGAAUGAAUGAAUCAGUGAAUGAAAGAAGAAAGUUUCUCAAUUGGAGGCAUCUAGUCAUUGUUUUAAAGCCUUUUCGAUAUGUACAUUUUAAAGUAUGGUUCACAGAAAAUCUGAAAAAUAGAAAAAAACAAACAAAAAGGUUAUUGACAGUCUUUGUAGCCUCAACAAUGCUAACGUUUUGAUGGAGUUCUUCCCAGGCCUGUGUCACUUGGUGGUUGGUCGGUUUUUUAAAGGCUUUGUCGUCAUUCCCUAUAUUCAGAUGUAUAUCCUGCUUUUUUUUUUUUUUUUUUGCUGGUGACAACGCCAGCCUUUUCCUGUUUUGUAACCAGUGCUUCAUAAACAUGGCAGUUAAUGUCUUCAGGCUUUUCCAGUCAAGUAUCGGAUGUGCCAUAAUUUACUUAAUAUUUCCCUUUUGUUCAAUGUUCUGCAUGUUCCUGAUGAGUGAUGUAGUGGAUGUGUUUUGUUCAGAGAGCUUUUUCUGAUGUUUAAGAUGAUUUCCUCAAAAUGACGCUGCUGGUGCCGAAGGCUCUG
rnacentral:lncRNA from 1 species